UUCCAUCGGUGUAGUGGCUAACAUUAUCUCUCAUUUUUGAUUAUGUAAUCAUGAGUGCCCGAUAGCCCAGGGUUCGAUUCCCUGUGAUGGAAU